rnacentral:rRNA from 1 species
UCGGCUCAGUAACACGUGGAUAACCUGCCCUUGGGACCGGCAUAACCCCGGGAAACUGGGGAUAAUUCCGGAUACCGCAUAUAUGCUGGAAUGCUUUAUGCGUGAAAUGGAUUCGUCUGCCCAAGGAUGGGUCUGCGGCCUAUCAGGUAGUAGUGGGUGUAAUGUACCUACUAGCCUACAACGGGUACGGGUUGUGAGAGCAAGAGCCCGGAGAUGGAUUCUGAGACAUGAAUCCAGGCCCUACGGGGCGCAGCAGGCGCGAAAACUUUACAAUGCGGGAAACCGUGAUAAGGGGACACCGAGUGCCAGCAUCAUAUUCUGGCUGUCCAGGUGUGUAAAAUACACCUGUUAGCAAGGGCCGGGCAAGACCGGUGCCAGCCGCCGCGGUAACACCGGCGGCCCGAGUGGUGAUCGUGAUUAUUGGGUCUAAAGGGUCCGUAGCCGGUUUGGUCAGUCCUCCGGGAAAUCUGACAGCUCAACUGUUAGGCUUUCGGGGGAUACUGCCAGACUUGGAACCGGGAGAGGUAAGAGGUACUACAGGGGUAGGAGUGAAAUCUUGUAAUCCCUGUGGGACCACCUGUGGCGAAGGCGUCUUACCAGAACGGGUUCGACGGUGAGGGACGAAAGCUGGGGGCACGAACCGGAUUAGAUACCCGGGUAGUCCCAGCCGUAAACGAUGCU